GCCAGGCACGGUGGCUCGUGCCUGUAAUCCCAGCACUUUGGGAGGCUGAGGCAGGUGGAUCACCUGAGGUCAGGAGUUCAAGACCAGCCUGACCAACAUGGUGAAACCCCGUCUCUA
ensembl:misc_RNA Metazoa_SRP Metazoan signal recognition particle RNA